AGUGAACGCUGGCGGUAGGCCUAACACAUGCGAGUCGAACGGCAGCACAGUAAGAGCUUGCUCUUACGGGUGGCGAGUGGCGGACGGGUGAGGAAUACAUCGGAAUCUACUUUUUCGUGGGGGAUAACGUAGGGAAACUUACGCUAAUACCUCAUACGACCUACGGGUGAAAGCAGGGGAUCUUCGGACCUUGCGCGAUUGAAUGAGCCGAUGUCGGAUUAGCUAGUUGGCGGGGUAAAGGCCCACCAAGGCGACGAUCCGUAGCUGGUCUGAGAGGAUGAUCAGCCACACUGGAACUGAGACACGGUCCAGACUCCUACGGGAGGCAGCAGUGGGGAAUGUUGGACAAUGGGCGCAAGCCUGAUCCAGCCAUACCGCGUGGGUGAAGAAGGCCUUCGGGUUGUAAAGCCCUUUUGUUGGGAAAGAAAAGCAGCAGGUUAAUACCCCGCUGUUCUGACGGUACCCAAAGAAUAAGCACCGGCUAACUUCGUG
rnacentral:rRNA from 1 species